AGGGAGAAAAAAACCCAAAGAUACAGCUAUGGGGGGGGGGGGGUUACAAAAUUCAUUUUUACAUCAAAAUAAUUUAUUUGUUUAAAUAUUUAAUUACCAGCAUCAUAUUUUCCAUUAAGAGUAAAAUUUUGAGGACAGGGUAGCAAAUUUAAGUGCUAAACUAGAUUGAAGGACCCGCAGCAUCAGAAGAGGGUGGCAAAAAGACCCCCCCCCCCCAGGGUUUAGCACCCAAAUUUAUGCGUGUAUGUUUGAAAGGAAACACAAAUUUACCAACUCAAUUGGUGAGUUUGCUGAAGUCUUUCUUUUUAAUAAUUAUUAUUAUUUAUUUAUUUUUACAGAUUUUGUCAUCCAUUCACAUUGCUUCCUCAAGUCUGGCUAUUAUUUGAUGCCAACAUGUUGAUUAAAACAAAAAUAAAUAAUGACCAGAAAUAUGUCAAGAUCAGUGAGCCAAGUUUGGAGGAAUUCUUGAAUUCUGGUAAGCCAUCAAUCACAAACUGAGAAACUAAAGAAAUUAAUUACCUGUUUAUUAGUCCAACAUUGUCUUAAAAUGUGUGAAACUUUAUAAAUUUAGGCCUUUACGGUUAAUAGUUGUUUUAAAAAAAAUCAGCAUUUUAAUUAACAUUUUUUAAUUAUUUGAUUUAUUUCCUGUAGCUUUUUUGAAGUUCUCCAUUCCACCUGUCAGUGAAGGAGUCAGAGUUUAUGAUGAAUCAGGAACUGAGGUGGAUGCAGAGGUCUUUGCAGAAGUUGCACAGCUUCCCAAUGCUGGUGUAUUUACCAUUCAAUUUAACAGUGGUUCUCUUGUUCCCAUUUUGACUGCCUCCACACAGGACUUAACCAGUUCACAACAGAAUGUUUCAUCAUGCAGUUCAAAUAAUACAGUGGUUCUAGAACUUUCUGUGUGCGAUUCUGAUGAUACAAUCAUCUUGGAUGAGGAUUGUUCCCCUUCAAGAAAAUGACAGAAGACAAAUGAAGAUGCUAAACAAGUUGUUGAAUUGGCUUUGACCAAGAAACCAGGUGGAGACCAAAUUGUUAGGGAAUACAGCCGUACAAAAAGUCUGACUGAUUCCUCACGCCGACAGAUGAUUAACAUUCUUGCUGCAGAUAUGACUGAGAUUCAUGGGUAAUGUGGAUGUUUGUUCCAAGCACCUUUCUGCCAAGUAUUUGGGGAAAUAUUGGCGCCACAUAUACAUGAUUUUAGUACUGGAAAAUCUAAAUUAAUUUGUU
rnacentral:lncRNA from 1 species